rnacentral:tRNA from 1 species
GGGGGUAUAGCUCAGAGUGGUAGAGCAUUCGACUGCAGAUCGAGAGGUCCUCGGUUCAAACCCGGAUGAUCCCU